rnacentral:rRNA from 1 species
AGAACGAACGCUGGCGGCAGGCUUAACACAUGCAAGUCGAGCGCACCGCAAGGUGAGCGGCAGACGGGUGAGUAACGCGUGGGAAUCUACCCAACCCUACGGAAUAACACAGGGAAACUUGUGCUAAUACCGUAUACGCCCUACGGGGGAAAGAUUUAUCGGGGUUGGAUGAGCCCGCGUUGGAUUAGCUAGUUGGUGGGGUAAUGGCCUACCAAGGCGACGAUCCAUAGCUGGUCUGAGAGGAUGAUCAGCCACACUGGGACUGAGACACGGCCCAGACUCCUACGGGAGGCAGCAGUGGGGAAUAUUGGACAAUGGGCGAAAGCCUGAUCCAGCCAUGCCGCGUGAGUGAUGAAGGCCUUAGGGUUGUAAAGCUCUUUCAGUGGGGAAGAUAAUGACGGUACCCACAGAAGAAGCCCCGGCUAACUUCGUGCCAGCAGCCGC